rnacentral:lncRNA from 1 species
GGCGGCGCCCUCGCCCCUGCCGGUGCGAGCCCAAGCCGCUGGCGCCUCGCCGGCACCGGCCGAAUCCGGUGCCCCAGACAGGCGGCGCCCUCGCCCCUGCCGGUGCGAGCCCAAGCCGCUGGCGCCUCGGCGGCACCGGCCGAAUCCGGUGCCCCACCACGACCACCGUCCUCGUCCCUCUCGUCGGCCAUCGCCCUCGUCCCCCUCGUUGGUCGCCUCGCCUCCGAGCCGUUCCCGUCGUCCCUAACC